UCAAAGAUUAAGCCAUGCAUGUCUCAGUACAAGCCAUAUUAAGGUGAAACCGCGAAAGGCUCAUUAUAUCAGUUAUGGUUCCUUAGAUCGUACAUAUAUUUACUUGGAUAACUGUGGUAAUUCUAGAGCUAAUACAUGCAAACAGAGUUCCGACCAGAGAUGGAAGGAAUGCUUUUAUUAGAUCAAAACCAAUCGAUGUCUACAUAAUUAUUAUAAUAUUAUAUAUUUUUUGUUAUUUUAUAAUUUCAUAAUUUUAUAUUUAUAUUUAUAUUUAUGUGCAUCGUAAUAAUUUGGUGACUCUGAAUAACUUUUAGCUGAUCGCACGGUCUUAAUAGUACCGGCGACGCAUCUUUCAAAUGUCUGCCUUAUCAACUGUCGAUGGUAGGUUCUGCGCCUACCAUGGUUGUAACGGGUAACGGGGAAUCAGGGUUCGAUUCCGGAGAGGGAGCCUGAGAAACGGCUACCACAUCCAAGGAAGGCAGCAGGCGCGCAAAUUACCCACUCCCGGCACGGGGAGGUAGUGACGAAAAAUAACGAUACGGGACUCAUCCGAGGCCCCGUAAUCGGAAUGAGUACACUUUAAAUCCUUUAACGAAGAUCCAUUGGAGGGCAAGUCUGGUGCCAGCAGCCGCGGUAAUUCCAGCUCCAAUAGCGUAUAUUAAAGUUGUUGCGGUUAAAAAGCUCGUAGUCGAAUUUGUGUCCUACACUGUCGGUUCACCGCUCGCGGUGUUUAACUGGCAUGUUUUGUGGGACGUCCUACCGGUGGUGAGGUAUGAAUUAUAUAUUGUAUAAUAUGGUUAUAAAAACUUGUAUUUUUAUUUAAAUUUUUAUUUAUGGUAAGUUAUUAUUAAUUUUAUUUUAAUAAUUUGAUUUUUUUUUUUUUAAAUUUUUUUUAUUUAAAUGAAUGAUAAUAUAUUAUUUAUUUGAUAUUUUACUUACUGAAAGUUUAAAGUAUACUAGUUAAAUUUUAUAUACUUAUAUGUACAUUAAAGUAUAAUUUAUCGUAAGUGUUAAAGUUAUCUAUAUUUUUUAUUAUUUUUUGAUUUAAUUUUAUAAAUAAUGGAGACAGCCUCCCAAUUAUAAUCCUAUCGCGGUGCUCUUAAUUGAGUGUCGAGAUGGGCCGGUACGUUUACUUUGAACAAAUUAGAGUGCUUAAAGCAGGCUUUAAAAUUUAAAUAGUGCCUGAAUAUUGUGUGCAUGGAAUAAUGGAAUAGGACCUCGGUUCUAUUUUGUUGGUUUUCGGAAGUUUUUCCGAGGUAAUGAUUAAUACGGACAGAUGGGGGCAUUCGUAUUGCGACGUUAGAGGUGAAAUUCUUGGAUCGUCGCAAGACGGACAGAAGCGAAAGCAUUUGCCAAAAAUGUUUUGAUUGAUCAAGAACGAAAGUUAGAGGUUCGAAGGCGAUCAGAUACCGCCCUAGUUCUAACCAUAAACGAUGCCAGCUAGCGAUCCGCCAAAGUUCCUCCGAUGACUUGGCGGGCAGCUUCCGGGAAACCAAAGCUUUUGGGUUCCGGGGGAAGUAUGGUUGCAAAGCUGAAACUUAAAGGAAUUGACGGAAGGGCACCACCAGGAGUGGAGCCUGCGGCUUAAUUUGACUCAACACGGGAAACCUCACCAGGCCCGGACACCGGAAGGAUUGACAGAUUGAGAGCUCUUUCUUGAUUCGGUGGGUGGUGGUGCAUGGCCGUUCUUAGUUGGUGGAGCGAUUUGUCUGGUUAAUUCCGAUAACGAACGAGACUCUAGCCUACUAAAUAGACGUACUUUAUUACCGGCAUCUCAAGGCCCAUCGGCUGUAUUAUUACUGAAUGUUUUUUGUAUAUUUUGUUUAUGUAUAUUUAUAAUAUGUAUGAUUUUUAAUUGUCUCUAUAUUUCUUGAUGAUUUUUUUUUUUAUUAUUAUAUUUAAUAUAAUAAUUGGGAUGAUGAUGAUGUGUAUAUGUGUAUAAUUAUUUAAUCUGCAUUAAUGAUAUAUCUAACAUGAUACAUUAACUGAAGUGAUAUCAGUUUUUUUGAUGUGGUUUUUACUGCCGGCGUACAAAUAAUUCUUCUUAGAGGGACAGGCGGCUUCUAGCCGCACGAGAUUGAGCAAUAACAGGUCUGUGAUGCCCUUAGAUGUUCUGGGCCGCACGCGCGCUACACUGAAGGAAUCAGCGUGUUUUCCUCUGGCCGAAAGGUCCGGGUAACCCGCUGAACCUCCUUCGUGCUAGGGAUUGGGGCUUGCAAUUAUUCCCCAUGAACGAGGAAUUCCCAGUAAGCGCGAGUCAUAAGCUCGCGUUGAUUACGUCCCUGCCCUUUGUACACACCGCCCGUCGCUACUACCGAUUGAAUGAUUUAGUGAGGUCUUCAGACUGGUGCGCGGCAAUAUUUUCAAUAGAUAUUGCCGAUGAUGCUGGAAAGAUGACCAAACUUGAUCAUUUAGAGGAAGUAAA
rnacentral:rRNA from 1 species